rnacentral:rRNA from 1 species
CCUGUACUACCGAUAACCGUUUGAGAGAUGGGAUGACACAGUAGGAUAAGCUAAGCACACUGUUGGUUAUGUGUGCCCAAGCAUUGAGGCAGUCAAAGUAGGCAAAUCCGCUUUGAUAAUGCUGGGAUGUGAUGGGGAGCGAAAUUUAGUAGCGAAGUAGCUGAUUUCACACUGUCAAGAAAAGUCUCUAUCGAGGUUAAAGGUACCCGUACCGCAAACCGACACAGGUGGGUGAGGAGAGUAUCCUAAGGCCAGCGAGAGAACUGUUGUUAAGGAACUCGGCAAAAUGACCCCGUAACUUAGGGAUAAGGGGUGCCACCAU